CUUUACUGGCUCUCUGUCUAUCCUUCUCCACUGCCAUCCCCAACCACUGCCCCCUGUUCACACUUAAAGGUUUGCUGAAGGCACAGCCACUUUGGUGCCAUCCAGCCUUCCCCCAUCCCAGGUAUUUGUCCCAGAGUUAACACCUGCCCCAAGCCCAGCCAGUCAAAGUCGCCAACACAUUCCCCUUACAGAUGAGGUGACUUAGGUCCUAGAUGGAAGAAGCCUGGGAGCUGAGGGUGUCCACGCCCUGCCACGUAGUCUGGAAGCAGAAAAGUCUGGUCUGCAAUGAGAGAUGGCAGUGGAGAGAUGGUGAGAGAGGCCUGGAGGGCAGAGAAAGAGCGAGUCUUGCAGCAUCAGGUGGUUUGUUUUUGAUUUAUUUCUGAAAUUAGACAUCUUUGUUUUCCUGUUUGAAUAAGCCAACUUAAACAACAAUACAAUAAAGACAAAGACAAGAUGGAUAUAUUUCAAAGAAAGCACUUUGCUGUUUGCUACAAUCUGAAGAGAAAACAGAAAGCAGAAGCAUUUGUUCCAAAUCAAUGUUAAUAUAUCGAUGAGUCAUUAGUAUUUUGGAACCAAGUACUUUCUGUGCCUUCUUCACUAAUGUCUUUCUUAGAAGAAAGAUAAUAACCAGUACAAGGC
rnacentral:lncRNA from 1 species